rnacentral:rRNA from 1 species
GCUCAGGAUGAACGCUAGCUACAGGCUUAACACAUGCAAGUCGAGGGGCAGCAUGAGCUUAGCUUGCUAAGUUCGAUGGCGACCGGCGCACGGGUGAGUAACGCGUAUCCAACCUCCCGCUUACUCGGGGAUAGCCUUUCGAAAGAAAGAUUAAUACCCGAUGGUAUCUUAAGCGCACAUGCAAAUAAGGUUAAAGAUUUAUCGGUAAGCGAUGGGGAUGCGUUCCAUUAGAUAGUAGGCGGGGUAACGGCCCACCUAGUCGACGAUGGAUAGGGGUUCUGAGAGGAAGGUCCCCCACAUUGGAACUGAGACACGGUCCAAACUCCUACGGGAGGCAGCAGUGAGGAAUAUUGGUCAAUGGGCGCGAGCCUGAACCAGCCAAG